GAUUUUCCGGCGCUAUUUCCAAACCUGUGAGACCUUCUGCACCUGAGAUAAACGCUGAGGACGCAAGAGCGAUUUUACCAGAGGAAAACAGUCACAGAGCAGUCGCUGGACUCAUAUUAAAGAGCACUGCGACAGAACGAAAGAGCAAGAUAAAAAUAGUAUGGCCGGAUCUUUUUUUAAAAUGGGACCACUGCGCAAGUUACGCCUGCGUAUUGCAGGGAAGGACCGUAAAAGGCUGUGGUGCUGAUCAACGAAGGAUUUCUCGGAGAAAAUUCCUCUUUUGCGGAAGUGUCGGUAGAAACGCACCUUUUUUUUUUUUCUGCCUGGACAAACCGCCGGCGAUAUCCGUUCAUGUGAAAGUGUUUACUAACAUUCUCUGAAGACUCACUGGGUUCUCAGCUCGAGAACGUUCCUGUCACAAGACGUUUAGGAGGCAGGAUGCCGGUACAAUGUAUUUAUGUUCUUGUAAACUGUUGCAUUAACAGUGCACUUCAAGUGGGCACAUUUGUCGUUGGAUUUUUUACCAACUCGAGCUUGGACUUUAGGACGGGGAAAAGAAGUGCUAAAUGUUUUUGAAUAAAACCUUUACUGCACAUGAUAAACAUCCCUUAAAAAUUACCUAGGAGCACCCUAAAUUUUAAAAUGAUCACAAAGACCUGGACAGAUUGCAGUAAACCUUCAACAUCGCUAAACACACGUACCAUAAAUCAAAAGAAACACACUGCUAAUGAUCAGUUUUUUGAUGUGGAAAUAUCAUGCUGUUUUUAAGGGAAAUUAUACUUUAUUGCGAUGUUUUAUUUCAAAACAAGAUGUUACACUUUAUUUCCUAUAAUUUUAUUUACAGUAUUUACACCUGUUGAGUAAAAAUCCCCCUACAUUGCUAUUCUGUUUUUUUAAUCAGUUCACUACUGUAGUAUCUUUUUGUUCUCCAUAUAUUUUUGAAAAAUACACAAAAGGAAGUCUGUCCCAGGAAGUUUUCAAACCUCUCUUGGCCAGAGAACAUCAGUGGGAGUGAUUGGAGGCCCUGGAUGGGAAGUCCCACCAAGCUGGAACAGCUGAGCCAUCCAAACAGCAAGGAUGACAACCUUCCCUUUCUCCUAAGAACUCUGCCCCAUUCAAGCUUGGCCCAACACUGUUGCCAGGGGCUGGCUGGAAUUCCAAGCUGAUUUCAAACAUUUAGGUUCAAGGGAUGCAGAUGCAAGUUUGUUACAUGGAUAAACUGCAAGUUGUGUAGAUUUGGUGCACAGAUUAUCUUGUUACCCAAAUAAUGAGCACAGUAUGCUGUAAGCAGUUUUCUUUGCUCAGCCUCUUCUGGCCCUCCGCCCUGAAGUAGAUCCUGUGUCCAUUAUUGUCUUAUUUCCAUGCGUACUCAGUUUUAAGCUUAUACGUAUAAGUGAGAACAUGCUAUUUGGUUCUCUCUUCCUGUGUUAAUUUGCUUAGGAUAAUGCCUUCCAGCUACAUCCAUGUUGCUGCAAAGGACAUAAUUUUAUUCUUUUUUUAUGCUGUCUGGUAUUCCAUUGUGCAUGUAUUUAUUUUUAUGUAUGUACUUUUAAAAUUCAGCUUACUGUUAAUGGACACCUGGGUUAAUUUCAUGUCUUUGCUAGUACAAAUAGUGCAGUAAUGAACACAUGUGUAUAUGUAUUUCUAUCAUAGAAUAAUUUCCAUUUCUUUGAGUAUAUGCUGAGCAGUGGGAUUGCUGGGUCAAAGUUAGUUUUGUUCUAAGUUACUUGGGAAAUCGUCAAACAAACUUCCACAAUGCCUGAAGUAAUUUACAUAAUCAGUAGCGGUGUAUAAAUGUUCCUUUUUCUCCACAACCUUGCCAGCAUCUGUUAUUUCUUGGUAUUUUAGUAAUAGCCAUUCUGACUUGUGUGAGAUUGCCUCUCAUUGUGUUUUGAUUUGUAAUUCUCUAAUAACUAAUGAUGUUGAGCAUUUUUAUAUGCUGGUUGGCUGCAUGUAUGUAUUCUUUAUAGAAGUGUCUGUAUAUGUCCUUUGCCCAUUUUUAAUGGGAUUGUUUUCUGUGAGUUAAUUUCUUUUCUUUUUUUUCUUUUUGAGAUGGGGUGUCACUCUCGUUGCCCAGGCUGGAGUGCAAUGGCGUGAUCUUGGCUCACCACAACCUCCAUCUCCUGGGUUCCUCCUGCCUCAGCCUCCCGAGUAGCUGGGAUUACAGGCAUGUACCACCAUGCCUGGCUAUUUUUUUUUUUUUUAAUACUUUUAGUAGAGACGGGAUUUCUCCAUGUUGGUCAGGCUGGUCUCGAAAUUCUGACCUCAGGUGAUCCGCUCACCUCGGCCUCCCAAAGUGUUGGGAUUACAGGCAUGAGCCACCACGCCUGGCAAUUUAAUUUCUUUAUAGAUGCUGGAUAUUAAACCUUUGUCAGAUGCAUUGUUUGCAAAUAUGCUGUCACCUUGGGUGGGUUGUCUGUUUACUCUGUUUACAGUUUCUUUUGCUAUACAGAAGCUUUUCAGUUAAAUUAGGUCUGACUUAUCAAUUUUUGUGUUUGUUGCAAUUUUUUUUUGGAAUCUUUGUCAUGAAGUAUUUUCCAGGGCCUAUGUACAGAAUGAUACUCUCUAGGUUUUCUACUAGGGUUUUUAAAUUUUUAGGCUUAUAGUGAAAUCUUCAAUAUAUGUUUAGAUGAUUUUUGUAUAUGAUAAAAGCAAGGGGUUCAAUUCAAUUUUCUUCAUAUAAGUAGCCAGUUAUCCUAGCACUAUUUAUUGAGUAUGGAGAUUUUUCCUUAUUGCUUGUUCUUGUUGACUUUGUCAAGGAUCAGAUCUGAGCUGGAGCCAUGGCAGAGGAACAUAAAUUGUGAAGAUUUCAUGGGCAUUUAUCAUUUCCCAAGUAAUACUUUUAUAAUUUAUUAUGCCUCUCUUUAAUCUCUUAAUCCUGUUAUCUUUGUAAACUGAGGCUGUACGUCACUUCAGGACCACUGUGAUAAUUGUGUUAACUGUACAAAUUGAUUGUAAAACAUGUGUUUGAACAAUAUGAAAUCAGUGACCCUUGAAAAAGAACAGAAUAACAACAAUUUUUAGGGAACAAGGGAAGACAGCCUUAAGAUCUGACUGCUUGUGGGGUUGGGCAAAAAGAGUCAUAUUUUUCUUCUUGCAGAGAGCCUAUAAAUGGACGUACAAGUAGGAGAAAUAUCACUAAAUCCUUUUCCUUGCAGGGAAUAUUAAUAUUAAUACCCUGGGAAAGGAAUGCAUUCCUGGGGGGAGGCCUAUAAACGACUGCUCUGGGAAUGUCUGUCCUAAGCAGUUGAGAUAAGGAUGGAGAUACCCACUGGUAUCCUGCAGUACCCCCGGGCUUACUAGGGUGGGGAAAAAAACUCUGCCCUGGUAAAUUUGUAGUCAGACAGUUUCUCUGCUCUGGAACCCUGUUUUCCGUUGUUUAAGAUGUUUUUCAAGACAAUAUGUGCACUGCUGAACAUAGACCCUUAUCAGUAGUUCUGUUUUUGCCCUUUGCCUUGUGAUCUUUGUUGGACCCUUAUCAGUACUUCUGCUUUUUGCACUUUGAAGCAUGUGAUCUUUGUACCUACUCUCUGUUCUUACACCCUCUCCCCUUUUGAAAGCCUUAAUAAAAAUUUGCUGGUUUUGAGGCUAAGGCAGGCAUCACGGGCCUAUGUGUGUGCAUAGAGUUUUUUGUAAUAUUCUUUGAUGGUUGUUAGUAUUUCUGUGUUGUUAGUGGU